AAGACUAUAGACCUGCGGAGUACCUGCGGAGUGAUCAUUAUCGUAUUGUAACAAUUGGGGGGGCCACCGUGGGCUGUCGCUGACCCUUUGAAAGGGGGGUCGUGCACGCCCCCAUAGUGUCAUCCUCAUACAAUCCAACUCACCUCUGUGCAUCACCGCGUGGGUUCCUUUCUGGGUCGAGUCAGACUGGCUCAGAAAAAAGGGGCUUGCGUUUUCCAUACAAAUACCCUUAUAAAUCCA
rnacentral:misc_RNA from 1 species